GUGGAGCUGAGCGGCUGUGGACGGACAGGAGAGCCGUGCUGCUGUAAAUGGAGUUUUGAAGAACAGCGUUUCGGCAGUCAUGACCUAAAAUCAGACUGGUCUGAGCUUUAAACGGCCGAGCAGACAGAGCUGAGUCAGAACAUCAGCUGCAGCAUGGUCUCAUUCUGUUCUCCUCAUAUAAAGCUGCUUUUAUGGACAAAGUCAGAUGGAACGCCGUCAUACUGUACACAGAUACAGAGGCUAUGCUCAGGGGCCUUUGUGAGGCUGAUGUCAGUUAAAAGUGGGACUCCUUUCCUCUGACUGGUCUCGGGGAACAUUCAACGCUGUCGGUGAGUUUGAUGAUAACACUGUAAAAACCAUCGACCGUUGAUUGUGCCCUGCGACUGGACCAAACAACACCAGCAUCAGCCCUAACCUCGGGCCAGCCAAAGAGAUGUUUUAUCCUCCAUUCUCCUGCUUUUUUUUCAAAGGUCACAAUCAACAUUCAUUGCUGUCGGUGGGUUCGAGUUUGCUAAAGCUCGCUGAACAAUGAGUGUAACUGUGGCCGUGUUCUUUACAGCUUUCCAGAAGGACAAGAUGCUUUUACACAAUCACAGUGUGGAUCUUGCUUUUGUUCUUCAGGUUUUUCAUUUCAUUGUUGCCUGUGUAACAUGUCUGAAUGUCUGUUCUGGGUUGUACAUCAAACAAACCAAAAAAUGUAAACAUUUGAUUUAUUUAACCAGGAACUGAAUCAGUAGGGAAGCACUUAGUACUGGCUUAGAUCAGCUGAUUCUUGCUCCAGCUGCGCAAUCGCAAUGUAUUUGAAAGCUGCUGCUGCAUCUCUACCAAAAUGUCCUAGCAUAAUUAUACAUGACUCACUCAAAACAAUGCUGGGUUGAAAACAACCCAAUUUGAGUUUUUUGGGGGUUUUAUUGGGUUACUUUCAGAUUUUUUUUAUUUACUUGUUUUUAAUUUCCUUUUUUUUUGCAUAGUAUGUUAUUAUCUUAAUAAAAUCAAUAUAAAACUUUUAGUAUUAUUUUUUAAAGUUAAAUUGUCAAAACUGUUAAACUUUGCUGUAGAUAUUCUGGUAUUUCAGCAUGUUCUGUAUAUAAUUUAUGGACGUUAACCUACUGAUUACUGUCAACCUUGACUCUGUGCUGCUGCUUAUAACUGGCGCUGUUAUGAGUUGAAAAUGAACCCUUUGCUGGGUUGUUAUUGUGACAUAGCGACUAACCCAAAGUCUGACCUCCCAAAAAACCGUGACAGUAACACAACACAAUGAGGCAGCUGCCUCAACUCAGAGUUGGUUAGAAGAAAAUAACUCCACAGUUUUUAGAGUGUGUUAUGCCAAGUAGCCAGUUGCUUUUUGCUUUUGACGUUGCACUUUGUUUGAUUUGAAAUUGUUUAAACAGGCAACUGAUUUUAAGCCAGUUUGGCCCAUCAACCCUGUCGAACCAAGCAUCUCACCAGCGAUCCAUUUAACUCGUUCAAAUCUGGCGCCAAAAGAUGUUGUGUGCACAUCCAGCCUGUCGAACUGUGUGCUCUUCAUAUUUUCUAUCACUGUAUAAAAGCUUUUAGGUCACAUUCUUUACAUAUCAAAUAAAUGUAACAACAGAAUUGAAGGAUUUAAGAGCAAAUAUUGUUAUAUUGGCAUUUAAAUGUAAACUUAUUGAUAUGGUUAAUAAAAAGUACUUGAAAUAUG